rnacentral:rRNA from 1 species
UGCAAGUCGAGCGAUGAGAUCACUUCUGGUGAAGGAUUAGCGGCGAACGGGUGAGGAACACGUGAAGAAUCUGCCUUCAACUCUGGGAUAACUCCGGGAAACCGGGGCUAAUACCGGAUAUGAGCCUUGAUCGCAUGAUCGGGGCUGGAAAGUUUUUCGGUUGAAGAUGACUUCGCGGCCUAUCAGCUUGUUGGUGAGGUAAUGGCUCACCAAGGCGACGACGGGUAGCCGGCCUGAGAGGGCGACCGGCCACACUGGGACUGAGACACGGCCCAGACUCCUACGGGAGGCAGCAGUGGGGAAUAUUGGGCAAUGGACGAAAGUCUGACCCAGCGACGCCGCGUGCGGGAUGAAGGCCUUCGGGUUGUAAACCGCUUUCAGCAGGGAAUAAGCGCAAGUGAAGGUACCUGCAGAAGAAGCACCGGCUAACUAUGUGCCAGCAGCCGCGGUAAUACAUAGGGUGCAAGCGUUGUCCGGAAUUAUUGGGCGUAAAGAGCUCGUAGGUGGUUUGUUACGUCGGUUGUGAAAUUCAGGGGCUCAACCCCUGACUUGCAGCCGAUACGGGCAAGCUAGAGUUUGGUAGGGGAGACUGGAAUUCCUGGUGUAGCGGUGGAAUGCGCAGAUAUCAGGAGGAACACCGAUGGCGAAGGCAGGUCUCUGGGCCAAUACUGACACUGAGGAGCGAAAGCGUGGGGAGCGAACAGGAUUAGAUACCCUGGUAGUCCACGCCGUAAACGGUGGGCGCUAGUUGUGCGAACCUUCCACGGUUUGUGCGACGCAGCUAACGCAUUAAGCGCCCCGCCUGGGGAGUACGAUCGCAAGAUUAAAACUCAAAGGAAUUGACGGGGCCCCGCACAAGCAGCGGAGCAUGCGGCUUAAUU